GACGAACGCUGGCGGCGUGCCUAAUACAUGCAAGUCGAACGCUGAAGAGAGGAGCUUGCUCUUCUUGGAUUAGUUGCGAACGGGUGAGUAACGCGUAGGUAACCUGCCUUGUAGCGGGGGAUAACUAUUGGAAACGAUAGCUAAUACCGCAUAAUAAUGGAUGACACAUGUCAUUUAUUUGAAAGGGGCAUUUGCUCCACUACAAGAUGGACCUGCGUUGUAUUAGCUAGUAGGUUAGGUAAUGGCCCACCUAAGGGACCGUACAUAGCCGACCUGAAGGGGUUGAUCGGCAAAAUUGGAACUGAGAAACGGCCAAGAUCCCUCGGGGAGCAAGAGGAGGGGAAUUUUGGCAAAUGGGGGAAAGCUGGCCGAAGCAAGCCGCCGGGGUGGAGGAAGGUCUUCGAGCGGUAAACUCUGUUGGUUGGGAAAGAAGAGUGGGAGAAUUAAAAGUUCACGUUGUGACGGUACCUAACCAGAAAGCGACGGCUAACUACGUG
rnacentral:rRNA from 1 species